rnacentral:rRNA from 1 species
CUCAGGACGAACGCUGGCGGCGUGCCUAAUACAUGCAAGUCGAGCGGACAGAAGGGAGCUUGCUCCCCGGAUGUUAGCGGCGGACGGGUGAGUAACACGUGGGUAACCUGCCUGUAAGACUGGGAUAACUCCGGGAAACCGGAGCUAAUACCGGAUAGUUCCUUGAACCGCAUGGUUCAAGGAUGAAAGACGGUUUCGGCUGUCACUUACAGAUGGACCCGCGGCGCAUUAGCUAGUUGGUGAGGUAACGGCUCACCAAGGCGACGAUGCGUAGCCGACCUGAGAGGGUGAUCGGCCACACUGGGACUGAGACACGGCCCAGACUCCUACGGGAGGCAGCAGUAGGGAAUCUUCCGCAAUGGACGAAAGUCUGACGGAGCAACGCCGCGUGAGUGAUGAAGGUUUUCGGAUCGUAAAGCUCUGUUGUUAGGGAAGAACAAGUGCAAGAGUAACUGCUUGCACCUUGACGGUACCUAACCAGAAAGCCACGGCUAACUACGUGCCAGCAGCCGCGGUAAUACGUAGGUGGCAAGCGUUGUCCGGAAUUAUUGGGCGUAAAGGGCUCGCAGGCGGUUUCUUAAGUCUGAUGUGAAAGCCCCCGGCUCAACCGGGGAGGGUCAUUGGAAACUGGGAAACUUGAGUGCAGAAGAGGAGAGUGGAAUUCCACGUGUAGCGGUGAAAUGCGUAGAGAUGUGGAGGAACACCAGUGGCGAAGGCGACUCUCUGGUCUGUAACUGACGCUGAGGAGCGAAAGCGUGGGGAGCGAACAGGAUUAGAUACCCUGGUAGUCCACGCCGUAAACGAUGAGUGCUAAGUGUUAGGGGGUUUCCGCCCCUUAGUGCUGCAGCUAACGCAUUAAGCACUCCGCCUGGGGAGUACGGUCGCAAGACUGAAACUCAAAGGAAUUGACGGGGGCCCGCACAAGCGGUGGAGCAUGUGGUUUAAUUCGAAGCAACGCGAAGAACCUUACCAGGUCUUGACAUCCUCUGACAACCCUAGAGAUAGGGCUUUCCCUUCGGGGACAGAGUGACAGGUGGUGCAUGGUUGUCGUCAGCUCGUGUCGUGAGAUGUUGGGUUAAGUCCCGCAACGAGCGCAACCCUUGAUCUUAGUUGCCAGCAU